UUCGAUCAUGGCUCAGAUUGAACGCUGGGAUGCUUUACACAUGCAAGUCGAACGGCAGCACGGACUUCGGUCUGGUGGCGAGUGGCGAACGGGUGAGUAAUGUAUCGGAACACGAUGCCUAGUAGCGGGGAUAACUACGCGAAAGCGUAGCUAAUGCCCUGUCGCGCCUCCGGAAAGCGGGGACCUUCCCGGAACUCGCACUAUUAGAGCGGCCGAUAUCGGAUUAGCUAGUUGGUGGGGUAACGGCUCACCAAGGCGACGAUCCGUAGCUGGUUUGAGAGGACGACCAGCCACACUGGGACUGAGACACGGCCCAGACUCCUACGGGAGGCAGCGAGUGGGGAAUUUUUGGACAAUGGGGGAAACCCUGAUCCAGCCAUCCCGCGUGUGCGAUGAAGGCCUUCCCAGUUGUAAAAGCACUUUUGGCAGGAAAAGAAGCACGGGAUAUACCCCGUGCAACUGACGGUACCCUGCAGAAUAAGCACCGGCUUAACUACGUGCCAGCAGCCGCGGUAAUACGUAGGGUGCAGGCGUUAAUCGGAAUUACUGGGCGUAAAGCGUGCGCAGGCGGUUCCGGAAAGAAAGAUGUGAAAUCCCAGAGCUUAACUUUGGAACUGCAUUUUUAACUACCGAGCUAGAGUGUGUCAGAGGGAGGUGGAAUUCCCGCGUGUAGCAGUGAAAUGCGUAGAUAUGCGGAGGAACACCGAUGGCGAGCAGCCUCCUGGGAUAACACUGACGCUCAUGCACGAAAAGCGUGGGGAGCAGAGCAGAGUUAGAUACCCUGGUAGUCCACGCCCUAAACGAUGUCAACUAGCUGUUGGGGCCUUCGGCCUUGGUAGCGCAGCUAACGCGUGAAGUUGACCGCCUGGGGAAAUUACGGUCAUAGUUAAACUCAAGGAAUUGACGGGGACCCACCCACGAAGCGGUGGAUGAUGUGGACUACAAUUCGAUGCAACGCGAAAAGCCUUACCUACCCUUGACAUGUCUGGAAUCCCGAAGAGAUUUGGGAGUGCUCGCAAGAGAACCGGAACACAGGUGCUGCAUACGGCUGUCGUCAGCUCGUGUCGUGAGAUGUUGAGUUAAGUCCCGCAACGAGCGCAACCCUUGUCGUUGGUUGCUGAAGAAGGCAUCGACAGACCUGAUAUCAGCAGAGGAAGGUGGGGAUGACGUCGAGUCCUCAUGGCCCUUAUGGGUAGGGCUUCACACGUCAUACAAUGGUCGGGACAGAGGGUCGCCAACCCCGCGAGGGGGAGCCAAUCCCAGAACCCGAUCGUAGUCCGGAUCGCAGUCUGCAACUCGACUGCGUGAAGUCGGAAUCCGCUAGUAAUCGCGGAUCAGCAUGUCGCGGUGAAUACGUUCCCGGGUCUUGUACACACCGCCCGUCACACCAUGGGAGUGGGUUUUACCAGUAGUUAGCCUAACCGUAAGGAGGGCGAUUACCGGUAGGAUUCAUGACUGGGGUAAAGUCGUAACAAGGUAG
rnacentral:rRNA from 1 species